CUCGAUUGGGAAUAAGCACGUUUGGCAUACCUUGUCAGCCGCAAGUCGUGCAACUAAGGCCUCCUUCAGAGGUCCCAACCAAUGAUGGGCCCCGACGAAACGCUUGUUCAGCAAUUUCGUGUGCGGGGCUGCUUGCGCGUAAACGGCCUCCAGUUCGAGCACCACCAUAUUUCACGCUCCUCGAACCCUUAACCUCUUCUCUUUUCUUUUCUUCUCUUCUUUUCUUUUCUUUUCUCUUCUGUUUUCUCUUCUUCUUCUUCUUCUUGCUUUCUUUUUCUUGUUUUUUUUCUUUUCUUUUUAGUCGUUACUCCACGAAAAAGGAUUUCACAAAGGCAGUAUAAGUAACACAAUGGUGUACACUAACAUUUACCCCCUCCUUUGUUUAUUAUAAUACUAAUACUAAUAAUAAUAAUAAUAAUAAUAAUAAUAAUAAUAAUAAUAAUAAUAAUAAUAAUAAUAAUAAUGAUAAUAAUAGUAAUAAUAAUAAUACUAAUAAUAUAACACUCUGAAGAUGAGGAUUCUUACGGAAGUCACAGACACGCCUUUACACUUUUUUUUUUCUCAUAAAAUAUCUUCCUUCAAAACGUCGUUUUCCAUUGUAUUCCAAUCAUAUUAAAUCGGAUGGCCCCAUUAUGAUCAUGCGAUCAAUUUCUCUUUGAGAUUUGCUAUUUCGAUCGUGAGGAAAAAUCGUUGAAUCUUCUUCGAUAAAAUAUCAUCUCGCGUUCAUGCACCACGUGGAUCGUCCACAACGAUGACGACGAGGACGAAAACAACGACAACGACAACGACAACGACAACGACAACGACAACGCGUGCAUACACCGAUCGUCGAUUCUUUCGCACGUCUUCGUACCAACUGCGUGCCUUUCGCGCGUUAGCUCGCUCUGUCUCUCUCUUUCUCUUUCUCUCUCUCUCUCCCUCCUUUUUGGAAUGUACGUAUGCGUGUGUAAUACACAAGAAGGAUAGAAAGAUUGAGUGGGAGAGUUAAGGACUAGACGGAAGCGAUAGAGUUGUAAAGAGAGAAGAAGCCGAUGAAAGGAGGCACGUAUGUAUAUAUAUAUCGAAAAAAAAAAAAAAAUAGUCUCCUUCGCACUGCUCGAUAAAUCCUAAGAGAACCUCUUUCACGAUCGCAAAACCGAUUAUCGGAACCCACUACGUCUCCGUGUGUCUCGUGUGUCUUCUGCGUUCGCUCGAACCAACAACGACGACGACGACGACGACAACGGCGGCGGCGGCGGCGGCGGCGGUAGACCGCGCGCGCUUCGCGAAAGCCGGAACAGGGAGAAAAGAAGGGGGUGGGGGAAAUAGAUAGACGAAAGAGAGAGAGGAGAGGAGAGAGAGAAAAAGACGGACAGACAGACAGACAGACAGACAGACAGAGAGAGAGAGAUAGAAGGUAACGAAAGAGAAGUAUAAAUAAGAAGGCCGGUUCUCCGCGCGAGCCGUUAAGUCCAGCGUGAUCCGGGCUUAAGCCGCGCUCGCAACGGUUGCCGCAUAGAAAGGCAGUUGAGAACUGACUGCUGCCUCCUCUCCAGUCUCCUCGCUCCCAUGGCCCGAGCGCUUUGAGUGACGCGACUCGACGCGACGCGACGCGAAGCGAGGCGAGGCAAGACGAAGCGAGGCGAGGCGAGGCGAGACGAAGCGAGGAGCGAUGGCUAGGUAUAAAAAUACUUGGCUGGGACAGGCAGGCAGGCAGGCAGGCAAGCAAGCAAGCAAGCAAGCAAGCAGGCAAGCAGCCUACCUCCGGACGCAAGAGUAACACCUAUGACGUUGGCACGAUAAAAGCACGAGUCGGGAAAAGCCCGUUAAGACUCGUACGGCGCAAGCUCCAAAGCUACUUUAGAAAAUUUUAGCUUUCGAACGGAGGGAGAGAGAGGGUGGGGAGAGAGAGAGUGAAUGAUAAACGCCGGAAAUCGAAAAUACCUAUUGAAAAUGAACGCGAAGAAACGUUCGGAUCCUAGAAAGAAAAUCAACUAUCGUGUUUUACAUUUACUUGUAAAAAAAAAAAAAAUGUAAAUGUGUAUAAGUAAUUCGCAGAGUAAAUUCAUUUUCAAACAUAAUAUUCCGAAGUAAAAUGGGUUUGGCCGAUCGUUAUGAUGACGUUGAGAUAAUAUAUAUUUAUGAUUAAAGUCCCACGGGUUUUAUAAUGUCACUAUUCUUUUAUAUAUAUAUAUAUAUAUAUAUAUAUAUAUAUAUAUAUAUAUAUCCCUUAAAAAAGGUUCUUUCAAGAGACAUGUACGAGCCACAUUCUUUCUAUCGAUAUUACUUCUUGAAUCGUUCUUUGAAUAAACUAUAUAUAAAGAAGAUAUUGUUACUAAGUUGCCACUCAUAAAGCGCCGGCAUUCGGAAUACCGCAGUGACCCGGAUUGAAAGACAUUACCAUUUUCUAGGCGAGGCAACGUCACUUGUUCAAAUUAGUUGAAUUACAUUUUCUAAUAUCUAAUCAUCACAAUUAACGUAUAAUUAAAACGCAUGUUUAGUUAGAAAUGUGCGUGUAUGCUCAACUAAGUUGUUUCAUAUCACGAGAGUAACGAGUAAAAAGAAAAAGAAAAGGAAGAAAGAAAAAGAGUUCGCUGUUGCGUUUUUAUUCAUCAACGCAUCGUCGAGAGAGAGAGAGAGAGAGAGAGAGAGAGAGAGAGAGAGAGAGAGAGAGAGAGAGAGAGAGAGAGAAAAGAAGAAAAAGAAGAAAAAGAAGAAGAAAUAUUUAAAAUGGCUCGACUUUUGCCAAAUCUAGCACUUGGUCACGGAUUUCAGCAUGUUCCCUAGUAUUAGUCUACGAAGAGAGUCCCAUAUAUACAACGUCAGAGGCGAGAAGAAACGAAGGGUUGGAGGUGAAGGUGGAGUGGCCACCUCGAGUUAGUUUCUAGCCUAGAUUCGACUUCGUGGCCGAUCCGAGAUUUUAAUUAGGACCUACACCGCGUGCGCGCCCACCCACGGAGAGAGAGAGAGAAAGAGAUAUAGAUAGAUAGAUAGAGAUAGAGACAGAGAGGGAGAGAGAGAGAGAGAGCUACUGCGACUGUUCUUCUCAGACUAAUGAUCUCUCUUUUCAUUAAUAAUUCAGCCUGGAGUGUCGUCUUCAACAUGGAACGCAGAAUAUUGUACUGGUAAUGAUGCCAACCGCGCUUCGCGACGCCCAUUGUUUCUAAAUACUCCUGGAAAAAAAAAAAAGGAAAGAAAGGAAAAAAAAAAUCUUCCUUCGAAGGUAUCAAAAAUGAUUCGUUUCUUCGUUAGAAUUUUCUCGUCUCUUCUUCACUGACUUUCUCUCUGUUUUCUCCUUUACCGACAAAUCAAACGAAUGUUCCUAACACCAUCAUCAUCCAUCAUCACUAUCACCGCUGCCUCCCACCAUUACUACCAUCACCAUCAUCAUCAAUUAUCAAUUAUCAUCGUUUUCGCGAAUGAUCAAAUAUAAGAAGAGAGAAGAAGAAGAAGGACUAACGACCUUGUAAGAUGUGCGUACAUAACGACGAUUAUGUAAAGACAUACCAAAAAUAUCUUAGAAUGACUGACAAGCUUUUGGCCUCAUAUACCAUCAUCAUAUCUCUUCGGUAUGUUUCUAGAGUUAGCAACCGAAUUCGUCGUAAAGUCAAUUGGGAUAUAUCAAAAGGAACGUAGUAUAAAUUUGAUUAGCUCUUCGAACGUUUUUACGAUAAAUAAGGAUCUACAAAGGAAAUUAUUUCUUUAUUCGCGUAGAAGAAAUUUUUUUACACGAAGGUCGAAUCGGAGAUAUCGGAAGAAAAAAUUUUAGAAGAGUGCUGCCAAAGAAUCUAGAUCUUUGCGGGGGAGAGAGAGAGAGAGAGAGAGAGAGAGAGAGAGAGAGAGAGAGAGAGAGAGAGAGAGAGAGAGAGAGGGUGAGGAUGAUGAGAAGGUUAGCGAAAAAGAAAAAAAAAAAAAGAGAGAGAGAGAAGGGAAAAAUCCGGAGGAGUAAAAAAAACAGACGAAGACGAAUAAUCAAGGUGAAAAUGUGGAAUCUCUGACCGAGACGACUUCGUUGAAAAUCACUCGGAAUCCCCGGCGCACCAGCUGAGAAAAAAGAUGUGCGCGCCUUCGGGCGAUGAUACAGAUUUUCAUCGGAGGAAGUCGUUGCACUUUAUGCUGAAUGGGCAGUGAGUCAACAACCCGAUCCCUUCUAAAUGUGCGCCAGUGUAUAAGUCUACACCUUUAACAGUGUCUUCUUCGACUCUCUGCAUCUCUCUCUCUCUCUCUUUCUCUCUCUCUCUCUCUCUCUCUCUCUCUCUCACAUUCUCUUUUUCUCUCAUCUAUCUAUCCAUCUUUUGCCUUCGUCGACUUUGUCGUUUUUUUUGCGUCCAAGAAGAGGAAGAAGGAGAAGAAUAUAGACAGAGAGAUAGAGACAAAGAGAGAGAGAGAGAGAGGAAAGAGAGGGUGGUGUAAGAGUGGGGAGAGAGAGGAAACGAGGUCUGGGAAUCGCUUCAUGCACUGCUAAGCACGAGCCUUCGCGUAAUAACAUGAUCAGAGAACGACUCGUCUCAUGCGUCCACGCACUUUUCCUACUAGCACAACUUCCCUUUACUCACAAAAACACAUACAGAGAGAGAGAGAGAGAGAGAGAGAGAGAGAGAGAGAGAGAGAGAGAGAGAGAGAGAGAGAGAGAGAGAGAGAGAGAGAGAGAGUAGCAAACAAGCGCAUGCACGUUCUUGCAUAAAUCCCGACAUAAUGCGCUCUCUCUCUCUCUCUCUCUCUCUCUCUCUCUCUCUCUCUCUCUCUCUCUCUCUCCCUUUCUCGCUUCUCUUUCUCUCUGUUCGGAGUUCUAUUUUUAUGUAAGCACAUAUCGAAGCAACGUGCACCAGCAGCCACCAUCAAGUGCAAGACUUGAAAAAAAAAAAAGCUAGAGAAUAAACGGGAAAGGAGAAAGAGAAAGGGAGAGAAAUGGGAGGUAGGAAUAGGUGGGGAGAAAGAGAGAGAGAAAGGGAGAGAAAGAGAAAGAGAAUGUAAACGGAAGGUCGAUAUCUCGCGAGAUUCUCGUUGACAUAACGUUACUCGAUGCCAUAACAUCGAGGGAAAAAAAAAAACAAUAAAGAACCUGAAGGAGAGAUCUUCGAAAGUAGAUGACCUUCAUCUAACGCAGACUUUUCAAAACGUGAGUUAAACGCGGUUAAACAUUUCUUUUUUUCUCUUUCUCUCUCUCUCUCUCUUUUUUUUUCACGAUCUCCCCUUCGCUAAAAGCGAUUUUCUGCGAUUUCAUCCGAGCGUACGAUGAGAACGAAAAAGAGCAAAAAGCGGUGAGAAAGGUAAGAGGGAGAAAGAGAAAAGAGAAGGAGAAGGAGGAGGAGGAGGAGGAAGAGAUGGAAGUGGUGGUGGAGGAGGAAGAGAAAGAAGGAUAGAGAAUGUUAGCUGCAGCACCUGUGCGUAUCGUGAGCCACGUGGAAAAUUCAAGCGUGCUUCCUUCCUUAGAACGAUAUUAACCGACUAUGCGCUUGCUAAAUCUCUUCAUGACGAUCUUCAGGACGGUUGUGGUGGUAAUUUCAGGGAUGACAUAUACGUGAAAGAAAAAGAUAGAGAUAGAGAAAGAAAACGCUGAGAGAGAGAGAGAGAGAGAGAGAGAGAGAGAGAGAGAGAGAGAGAGAGAGAGAAGGCAUGCGAAAUUGCACAUUAUUAAAAACGUCUUUCAUUUAAGGAUUAUCUUUAAUUAAUUAAUGAAUGAUGUAAUACGAUUUCGAAAGAUGGGUAAAAAAAAAAAAAGAAAAAUAAAAAAGAAAGGAAUAAAUAAAGAAAAAAGCAGCUAUAAAUUCCAACGAACGAAUUUAUUGGCUAUUUGACAUUUUUAGCAGAAUCUCAAGGCAUUUCGUUCGCAGAUAAUGUUUUUUUAUGUUUACGCAGAAUGAUCCAACAAUUAAUACUGUCAUUUCAAAUACCCAUGGGGCUAUGUAUUUUAUUCGACGAUCUUAUAAGGAGGGAAAAAAAAAACAAUAUUUUAAAUAAAAUGUUGGGUAUAACGAACAGACAAGAAGUUUUAAAUGAGAAAAAAAAUGAUAUAAAAAAAAAUAAAAUAAAAUAAAAUAAAAUAAAAAAAAUAAGACCGUUUUCAAAUAAUUUUAGUAUACAAAAUGGGGUUCUUUUCUUUUUUUCUUUUUGAGAUCAGUGAGUAAUUACUGACUCACUCUAUAUAUUAUUAUAGAUAUCACUUAACCAUCUCGCUCCCCAUUAUCAUCAUCACCAUCACCAUCAAUCAUGUAUCAGUAGUACAUAUUUCUCUAUACUUUCAUUAAAUACUCUUAUAACAUUUUUGCGAAUGUAUUCAAUUACCAAUUCGUUAUUAAAAUGUCAUAUAUUGAAUAAAAUUCUAUGCAGUGGCUAAAUGAUAUAUUAACAAAAAAGAAAAACAAAAAAAAAAAAAAAAAAAAAAAAAAAAAAAAAAAAAAAAAUAUAAAGAUGUGAUCAACUAAAAAUAUGUUUAAAAAACAAGAUAAAAUUCGAUGAAGUUAAAUGAAAGACGUAGAUAAGAGAAUCAUAUUUUAAUCAAAAACCAUAUAAAUCGAAGAAAUAGGAAAGCAGUUUGACCACGUUAAAAACGUUGAAAGAAGAAAAAAAAUAAGAAGAAAAAGAAGAAGAAAAAGAAGAAGAAAAAGAAGAAGUAGAAGAACUGGUGGAUUUGUCAAGGAGAAUAUAUCAAAGUGGUCCAAGCAGGAUGCUUCUCAGAAUCUGUCGACUUUCGCUCUUCGAAAGCUUCAAGGUUCCGCGAGAAAACUUGAAUCGACCUCGAUUUAUUCGUUCCCCGCUACUCUUUCUGCCGUCCUAUCCGGACUAAUCCUUCCUCACGUGGUUCGUGCCGGAAGGGUUCUAAAGCCUCGUUUUCACCAAGAGCGCGCAUGUGCGAGAGACAGAGACAGAGAUAGAGAGAGAGAGAGAGACAGACAGACAGACAGACAGACAGACAGACAGACAGAGAGAGAGAGAGAGAGAGAGAGAGAGAGAGAGAGAGAGAGCGAUAUUACGUCGCUGAUAGGAAUGUAAGGAUCUCAUUCUUUUCUUUCGUACAGCUGUUCUUGAAAGGAAAGCGCGUCUAAUCGUAGUAGAGCAAGAAAUUUUCAAUCGUCUAUCAUACGAUUGCGACAGAAAAGAUUACAAUGAAGCUUUUUAUAUAUACAUACAUAUAUAUAUAUAUAUAUAUAUAUAUAUACAUAUGUGUAUGUGUAUAUAUAUAAAAAAAAAAGUGACGUUCAGACGAUUUGCGAUUCAUGUUUCGUAGAAUCUAGCGAACGGAGAGAAGCAUUUGCCGAUAUUAUACAUACAUGCAUACAUAGAUGUGAACAAUUUGGUAAAUCGUAAGAGAUGAGUAUGAAUGUAUUCUAUACAUAUAUAUAUAUGUACGUUGCCUAUGAACCCGUGUGAAUGUCGACAAAGUGGUUAGACAUAUAUCGACCGUUCUAUUUUCCGAAUGGGUUUGGAAGUAGACGUCGAGAGACUGUCACUCUAUGAUUUAUACGUUUGUCUGCGCCGCAGGACAAGGUCGUUCUUCGUUCUCCUUCUCUCCGUAGCUCCCUCUCACUCGCUACUAAAUUCCUUUGUCGUACGAAUUCAUCCGGUAUAUGCAAAUAUCUUUGAUAUCGCUUAUUUCGCUCGUGUCGAAAGGAAACUUACAGACUUAUCUCUUCAAGGAAAUAUUUAAUUAGAUGUGAUUUUUCUCUGUUCAGAAGAAAGAAAGAAAGAGAGAGAGAGAGAGAGAGAGAGAGA